rnacentral:misc_RNA from 1 species
GGUGAAGUCGUAACAAGGUAGCCGUACUGGAAAGUGUGGCUGGAUCACCUCCUUUCUAAGAGAAAGAAAUUAUUUAAAUUAAUUAUUAUUUUAACUCUUCCCUUGUUUUCUCAAAGGCUUUUUUGGGGGUUUAGCUCAGUUGGUUUAGAGCAUCGGCUUUGCAAGCCGGGGGUCAAGGGUUCGAAUCCCUUAACCUCCAUUUAUUUGUUUUUAAAUAAGUGUGAAUUAAGCCUUUUAAGAAAUGUCUUGUAUUAAAAAAGAAGCUAUUCAAACGUAUUGUUGCUUUUAAAGUGUUAUUUUUUGAUUUAUUUAGGUGAAUUUAGUAUUUUAUAUUGAGUUAACAAAUUUUUUCAUGGGCUUAAAAGAUAUGUUUUUAUGUUAUUUGUUAUCCUGAUGAAUUUCUUUUUAUGAAUUCCAAGACUUGAUUACAUGCAAAAACUUUAUCUUUAAUUAUUUUAUUCAUAUUAUCAAGAACCUUAUCAUGAAUCAACCUAAUUGCAUUGGGAUCAGGAGGAGUUGAACCUCCGACCUCAGGU